UGGGGAAUAUUGGACAAUGGGCGAAAGCCUGAUCCAGCCAUGCCGCGUGUGUGAAGAAGGUCUUCGGAUUGUAAAGCACUUUAAGAUGGGAGGAAGGGCAGUAAGCGAAUACCUUGCUGUUUUGACGUUACCGACAGAAUAAGCACCGGCUAACUCUGUGCCAGCAGCCGCGGUAAUACAGAGGGUGCAAGCGUUAAUCGGAAUUACUGGGCGUAAAGCGCGCGUAGGUGGUUCGUUAAGUUGAAUGUGAAAGCCCCGGGCUCAACCUGGGAACUGCAUCCAAAACUGGCGAGCUAGAGUAGGGCAGAGGGUGGUGGAAUUUCCUGUGUAGCGGUGAAAUGCGUAGGUAUAGGAAGGAACACCAGUGGCGAAGGCGACCACCUUGGCUCAUACUGACACUGAGGUGCGAAAGCGUGGGGAGCAAACAGG
rnacentral:rRNA from 1 species